AAUGAUUUGGGCAGUCAACUAAAAUUCUCAGGAUGGAAAAUGAGGGAUUCUCUUUUAAGAAAAAGCUGUCUUCUACAGAAAAAAAUGAGGCAUUUCUGUGCAGCUUGGGCUAAUAUUCAGGGCACACUGCCUGAUGCAGCAGCCAUCACAGUGCCUUCAGUGGUGGGAAUACUGAGUUGGCAGUCUAGAAUUCCAGAGCAGCUGCUGGUGGAGAAGGCAUUUAGGAAGCAGGAAUGAACUAAAGAGCUGCCACGCUGAGAUUUCUUCUGACUUUUGCUGGAAAUACUUGGCUAUGGGAGUUUUGUACCCCACUGAAUAUGAACAAGAAACUGUAACCUGGAGACUGUUUUGGGACCAGCAGUGGAGGCCUCGCAGAAUGAGGCCAACAAAG